UGAGGAAUAUUGGUCAAUGGGCGCAAGCCUGAACCAGCCAUGCCGCGUGAAGGAUGAAGGUUCUAUGGAUUGUAAACUUCUUUUAUUUGGGAAUAAACCUCUUUACGUGUAGAGAGCUGAAGGUACCAAAUGAAUAAGCACCGGCUAACUCCGUGCCAGCAGCCGCGGUAAUACGGAGGGUGCAAGCGUUAUCCGGAAUCAUUGGGUUUAAAGGGUCCGCAGGCGGAUUUAUAAGUCAGUGGUGAAAUCUCACAGCUCAACUGUGAAACUGCCAUUGAUACUGUAAGUCUUGAAUUCGGUCGAAGUGGGCGGAAUAUGACAUGUAGCGGUGAAAUGCUUAGAUAUGUCAUAGAACACCGAUAGCGAAGGCAGCUCACUAGGCCUGGAUUGACGCUCAGGGACGAAAGCGUGGGGAGCAAACAGG
rnacentral:rRNA from 1 species